AUUAGUUGAAUGGAUUUUUUUCCCGAUCUCGAAUAAUUAGAAUAGUAGAACUAUAGAUGGUGUGUUUAUAUCUGACGCAACAUUCUCAUAUAAUACGGCAUGUAGUGAGCAAUAUUUAUGGCAACUUGCGAAUCUGUGUAUUGUUGUCGGUAAUAUAUGCAUUUACUCUGUAUAUUCAACAAUUUUAUCACAUAAAACACGAGUUUCUAGUUUGAUGUACUGAAGUAAUUAUAUUACAAACAUCGGUUCUAUAAAUAGUUCGUGGUCUGACUUUAUUUUGUACACAAGGCAGCGUAGGAAUACUGUCUGGCUUGUUACUAUGAAAAAAUAGGUCGACUGAGGUCAGGUCGCGUUGUAAACAAACAUUCUGGUGUCAAUGAUCUCGACGUGUUCUCGUUUACCUCGGCAUAAAUAUUCAUCAUGCAUAAAAUUAAUGUGAUGUAAGAUGUUUGUUUGAAAUUUUUUUAGUUUGUAUACAACAAAAUAUUGAAGUGCUUUAAAAACUUAUUUAUGUUUACCUUACGUUUGAAUGUUCUUUUUGUCUCUAUACAAAUUGACUGAUCUGAGAGUCGGUGGAUUAAAUUGAGGAAAAACAG
rnacentral:misc_RNA from 1 species